UCUUCCAGAUGAGCAAAGAAAGUGGUGUUUUGAGACAGAUUCUACUUCUGAUGAAGAUGUCAAGAA
rnacentral:pre_miRNA from 1 species